rnacentral:snRNA from 1 species
GUGCUUGCUUUGGCAGCACAUAUACUAAAAUUGGAAUGAUACAGAGAAGAUUGGCAUGGCCCCUGCGCAAGGAUGACACGCAAAUUUGUGAAGCGUUCCAUAAUUUU